rnacentral:rRNA from 1 species
CGCGGUGAAUACGUUCCCGGACCUUGUACACACCGCCCGUCAAGCCAUGGAAGUCUGGGAGACCUGAAGCCGGCGGUAACAGCACCGGUAAGGGUAAAACAGGUAACUGGGGCU